CCAGCAGCCGCGGUAAUUCCAGCUCCAAUAGCGUAUAUUAAAGUUGUUGCAGUUAAAAAGCUCGUAGUUGAACCUUGGGCAAGAUGCAUCAGGUCGGCCGUAAGGCCGUACUUGGUCGUCGCGCCUCUGUUGGGGGACUCGCUGUUUCGACGGCGAGGUAACCUGCGUUACUGUGAAGAAAUUAGAGUGUUUAAAGCAGGCGAUCGCUUGAAUACAUCAGCAUGGAAUAACAAGAUAUGACAUGUGUCUUCUUGUUGGUUUGGAGAGAUAUGUAAUGAUUAAUAGGGCCAGUUGGGGGCAUUAGUAUUCAGUAGUCAGAGGUGAAAUUCUUGGAUUUACUGAAG
rnacentral:rRNA from 1 species